UACGUAGGGUGCAAGCGUUAAUCGGAAUUACUGGGCGUAAAGCGUGCGCAGGCGGUUAUGCAAGACAGAUGUGAAAUCCCCGGGCUCAACCUGGGAACUGCAUUUGUGACUGCAUAGCUAGAGUACGGUAGAGGGGGAUGGAAUUCCGCGUGUAGCAGUGAAAUGCGUAGAUAUGCGGAGGAACACCGAUGGCGAAGGCAAUCCCCUGGACCUGUACUGACGCUCAUGCACGAAAGCGUGGGAAGCAAACAGG
rnacentral:rRNA from 1 species